rnacentral:rRNA from 1 species
CACUCCUGCGGGAGGCAGCAGUGGGGAAUUUUGGACAAUGGGGGCAACCCUGAUCCAGCAAUGCCGCGUGAGUGAAGAAGGCCUUCGGGUUGUAAAGCUCUUUUGUCAGGGAAGAAACGGUGGUGGCGAAUAACUACUACUAAUGACGGUACCUGAAGAAUAAGCACCGGCUAACUACGUGCCAGCAGCCGCGGUAAUACGUAGGGUGCAAGCGUUAAUCGGAAUUACUGGGCGUAAAGCGUGCGCAGGCGGUUGUGUAAGUCAGAUGUGAAAUCCCCGGGCUCAACCUGGGAAUUGCAUUUGAGACUGCACGGCUAGAGUGUGUCAGAGGGGGGUAGAAUUCCACGUGUAGCAGUGAAAUGCGUAGAUAUGUGGAGGAAUACCGAUGGCGAAGGCAGCCCCCUGGGAUAACACUGACGCUCAUGCACGAAAGCGUGGGGAGCAAACAGGAUUAGAUACCCUGGUAGUCCCAUG